rnacentral:snRNA from 1 species
GGAUGUGAGGGCGAUCUGGCUGCAACAUCUGUCACCCCAUUGUUCACCAGGGUUGAUUCGGCUGAUCUGGCUGGCUAGGCGGGUGUCCCCUCCUCCCUCACCGAUCC